rnacentral:lncRNA from 1 species
UACUCUUUACCAAAAAAAAGAGAAGCAAUUUUUAUUUACUUCUUAGUUUUGGACGAUGAAAAUAUAUUUUUUGGUAAAUUUUUCUAUUUUGAUUUUGUCGUCUCUACUAUACUUUGUUUAUUUUUAUUUUUUACUUUAGGGUGUGAAGAUCUACCUUUAGUGAGGAGAAUGAUAAUGUGAAGGAUGGGGUGAAUAUAUAGAAGAAGGUCGACUCAAUGAAAAAGAAUAGCAUUAAUUAAGUUUAUGAUCGACAAGGAGUAAUAUGUUGAUGUGUUUGUAUUUGUAGUUGAAAUUUUUAAUCUCUUUUGUACAUUUAUAUUAUUUCUUAGACAUUACAAGUUUUUUUUUUCAAGUUUAAGGUGCUAUACGGGAAAAUUUUCUUGAAUUUUAAAUUUCCAUAUAAAGCAUGUAUUUAUAUGAUUGGACGGGUUUGGAUCGAGAGUAAUAUAAAAUUUAAAAUAUCAUGAAA